ensembl:lncRNA
AUUAAAAAACUUGCAUUGGGAUUAUUUUAAAUAGGCCUUUAGCAUAUUCCAUGACUGAAUGUUUCAUACCCACUUCCACAUAUUACAAACCAGUACAGCGAUAAUAUCGCUUGCGCUAUGUUGUUACAUUUUAGCACCUGUAGAAACUCAGUUUUCCAAACAAAUAUUAGAGUUCCCAUGAAGAAAAAACUAAUUGUAUGAAGAAUGUAUUUUAAUGUAUAUAAUUUCAACAAAUAACAGUUCAUAUUUCUUAAUAAAUGUAUAUCUUCUGUAUUACAUAGACAUGCUGUUGAAUCUUUCAUUUUGUUUUGUGUUUACUAAAACUAAUUUCCUUAUUAAGGCCAAGAUCUACACAAACAACUGAUAUGAAGUUAAUUGACAUUUCAUCCACAACUAUAUUUUACAAAUAUUUUGACAUUUGUGAUGUACCCUACAAUCUAUUGGUAGGCACAAAAUCAGCAAGCAUGACAACGCAAAUAGUUGGUUGAUGCUGCCUGAGACGGUCAGAGGGAUGACUGUGUCAAACAGCUUCUGCUCCUUUACUCUCUGAAUCUGUGGCACCUCUGCAGAAAAGCUGGCUGUCAGAUCUUGCAUGGAACCAGAUCAUCCACGAGGUAGACAUCAUCCACCAUAAAGGCCAUGAUCAGGGAUAAGUAAGGAAAUAAUUCCUGGCUGCCUAACAAUCUCCUUGUCACCCACAGAACCAGCAUACAAAGAGGACCCAAAAGUGGUAGCUCCAUGUGGUGACAUUCCCAACAUGCCUUUGAAGGUACAGUGCAACUUGAAGAAAACACCUCACUCUGCAGGAGUAGGGAAGAUGGUGUCUGGCAGCAGAGUUCAGUGCAGUUAAUCACAGCCUUUGGGUCUGGAUAAUCAUCAAACUCAGGUGUUGCAAAUCUACAGAAGGAAACAGACCGGGAGUAUUUACUUUAAGGAAGCCCAAAUAGCUUCGGAUGACAUGGAGCUGUCUGCUUACUGAACUUCACUCAUUACUAUGAUUGCCCAUCUUCUAUAGGUAUCAAGAAGCACUAGACUUGACCUAACUAAUGGUGGAGCCUGUAUUAGUCUUAACGUCCUGGUUCUUUCAGAUAUUUAUUAUUAAUUUCGUGUUUUACUGCAAUUCAGUUUUUUUAAACAGUUUCAACACUGCAGUGCAUAACUAAUACUAAGAGAAUAUUCAUUUAAUAGGCUUACUUUUGGUAGGAUUUUGGUAAGAAUAACAGUAGGAGAUACAGGAGGACUUUGGGAUUGCUGUAUCGUAAACAAUUACUGUACCUUGUGUAAAAUCAUGUCUUCGUCAGAUCCCAGUAAACCAUUGUACACGAAAGUGGUGUUGUGUUGUCAGGUUUUCCAGCAUUGUUGAAAGCGCUUGGAUUUCCCAUGCUUGCUCCUGGUUCACCAUUAUUAAGGCCCUGUCCAGGGCUGUGGGAUCAGAGCCUGUACAGUGAUCAUGCGUCUAGAUUGGAUCAGAAUCUGCACACUCCAUCUUUGUAGCGAACAUUUCUCGCCUCGUUCGUCUUCCUCUGUAGGGGCAGGGGGUUUCAGUCGCCUUUCCCAAACACCAGGUCUGUUUUGAAUAUAACUAUUCCAUACGAAGACAUUAGGAACCACACAUUUUUAGGUACCACCGUCCUCCAACUUUGCUCUCAGCGAUGUCACUGGCAAUGAAAUGUGCACUGCACAUCUUUGUGACAUGUUAAUGUCAUGAUGUACUGUCACCAACUUCCUUUUUCUGACCUCUUCAUUGAUUGAUCAUUACUACAUUACCUCCUUUGUGGGGCACAGAUGUAAAUUCUCAUUGCCAAUAAGAAAACAGUCUGAUAAGUGUUCACGAUAGCUAGCUAAUAAUGAAAACAAUAACAUAACAGCGCCCAAAGUCAGUCCCCCGGUAUGAAGUGAAAUGUAUAUUAUUUGUUGGAAACCCAACUAAUUCCACUUGGCACUGGUCUGGAGCACUUCUGUUGUGAGCAACUAGAAAUGCAGCAUUUCUGCAAAUGUUGCUGUGUUUUGGGCUAAUUCUGUUGUGUUCUGGGCUGAUGCUGUUGUGGUGUGACCCAAUGUUGUUGUGUUGUCACUUAAAGUUGUGGGUAGUUGAUUGUUUACUGAAAUGCAGCGUUUUUAUAAAUGUUUCAUUUUUGUUAAUGUUGUUGUGUUUUCAACUUUCGUGUGCAUUGCUAAUGUUGUUGUGUUGUGCACCAGUGGGCCACCGUAGAAAGUGAAUUAAGAAUGUGGUAGAUAUUCUAAAUAUAAAAUAAACCUCAACACCCCUGCAAAGUCUCAUCUAACCACUUCCAUGUUUCACGGAAAUGUAUAAAGGGUUAUGUGUCAUGGGUAAAACUGAUCUUAUACAUUGCAGUUAUAUCUCUUUACAUUGAAGAACAGACUUCAUUGUGAUAUUUUUCCAUUCAAAGAUUGUUAUUCAGAACAACUGUCACCAAAUUAACAGGUAUGUUUUCUUAUCUUUUUUCCUUUCUUUAUUU